GAUGAACGCUAGCGGCAGGCCUAAUACAUGCAAGUCGAACGGUGUAGCAAUACACAGUGGCGCACGGGUGCGUAACACGUAUGCAACCUACCUUACAUUGGGGGAUAGCCUUUCGAAAGGGAGAUUAAUACCGCAUAAGACAGUAACUAGGCAUCUAGUAGCUGUUAAAGAUUUAUCGAUGUAAGCUGGGCAUGCGUCCAAUUAGUUAGUUGGCGAGGUAAUGGCUCACCAAGACGAUGAUUGGUAGGGGAACUGAGAGGUCAAUCCCCCACACGGGCACUGAGUUACGGGCCAGACUCCUACGGGAGGCAGCAGUAGGGAAUAUUGGGCAAUGGGCGCAAGCCUGACCCAGCCAUGCCGCGUGCAGGAAGAAGGCGUUAUGCGUUGUAAACUGCUUUUAUACAGGAAGAAACGACCCUUGCGAGGGGCAUUGACGGUACUGUAUGAAUAAGCACCGGCUAACUCCGUGCCAGCAGCCGCCGUAACAC
rnacentral:rRNA from 1 species